GGAUCAUUAACGCAUGAUUUCUCAAGCAGCUGCUGGCUGUUGUGAAACGCACGCACACGUCCUAUCGAAACAGUAACGAUAUACAUUUUUUGCCCGCGUGCGGCGGCGGCAUGAAGCCAACGCCACGCGGGUCCGUCCGCUCCAAUAUUUUCGGGGUACCUAACCAUUUUUUAUUGUCCUCGAUGCGACCCACGGUGACGGCUUAGAGCCCGAGUGCUCGCCGGGUCGCCAUGGUUCAAAGAGUGGCCUUGCUCUCUUACGGCCACCGCCCCGACCGACCGACGUCUUGUCCGAUAAGAGAAGCCCGGGGUACCUGUGCCCUUGUUUGCUCGAUCCUGCUCGCUGGGAGGCACGCUCUCGCCAUCCUUGGGUCGGCUCGCUUGGGCGGGAGCUCCAGAUCUUUUUGGCCGCGACGGUUCAAAGAGCCGACCGUGCUCGUGUCGGUCGCCGCCCCGGGUCUCUCUCAUUUUUUUCAAUAUACAAAACAAAAAUUUUAAUGUUGGCCGGAAAAGAGAAAAGCGGUUGCGUGCUCGCACCACUUUUUUUUAUUGUCAUUCGUGACAAAAAAAAUGUACGUAUAACUUUGAGCGGUGGAUCACUCGGCUCGUGCGUCGAUGA
rnacentral:misc_RNA from 1 species